rnacentral:rRNA from 1 species
GUCCCAGCUGUAAACGAUGGUCACUAGAUGUGGGAGGUAUCGACCCCUUCCGUGUCGUCGCUAACGCUUUAAGUGACCCGCCUGGGGAGUACGGCCGCAAGGUUAAAACUCAAAGGAAUUGACGGGGGCCCGGCACAAGCGGUGGAGCAUGUGGUUUAAUUCGACGCUACGCGAAGAACCUUACCUGGGCUCGAACGACUGGUAGUAGUCCGAUAGAAAUAUUGGGCGACCCGCAAGGGAGCCAGCCGAGGUGCUGCAUGGCUGUCGU